GAUGAACGCUGGCGGCGUGCCUAAUACAUGCAAGUCGAGCGAAUGAUGAGGAGCUUGCUCCUCUGAUUUAGCGGCGGACGGGUGAGUAACACGUGGGUAAUCUGCCUGUAAGACGGGGAUAACUCCGGGAAACCGGGGCUAAUACCGGACAACAAGAGAAGAAGCAUUUCUUCUUUUUGAAAGUCGGUUUUGGCUGACACUUACAGAUGAGCCCGCGGCGCAUUAGCUAGUUGGUGAGGUAACGGCUCACCAAGGCGACGAUGCGUAGCCGACCUGGGAGGGUGAUCGGCCACACUGGGACUGAGACACGGCCCAGACUCCUACGGGAGGCAGCAGUAGGGAAUCUUCGGCAAUGGGCGAAAGCCUGACCGGGCAACGCCGCGUGAGCGAUGAAGGCCUUCGGGUCGUAAAGCUCUGUUGUUAGAGAAGAACAAGUACGAGAGUAACUGCUCGUACCUUGACGGUACCUAACCAGAAAGCCACGGCUAACUACGUGCCAGCCGCCGCCGUAAAAC
rnacentral:rRNA from 1 species